rnacentral:rRNA from 1 species
AGACGUCUACAUUAGAUACCCCCGGUAGUCCCAGCCGUAAACUAUGCGCGUUAGGUGUAUCGGUGACCACGAGUUACCGAGGUGCCGAAGGGAAACCGUGAAACGUGCCGCCUGGGAAGUACGGUCGCAAGGCUGAAACUUAAAGGAAUUGGCGGGGGAGCACCACAACAGGUGGAGCCUGCGGUUUAAUUGGACUCAACGCCGGGAAGCUCACCGGAUAGGACAGCAGAAUGAUUGCCGGGCUGAAGACUCUGCAUGACUAGCUG